UACAGAGGGUGCAAGCGUUGUUCGGAAUUACUGGGCGUAAAGCGCGCGUAGGCGGACCUGCAAGUCGGGGGUGAAAGCCCGAGGCUCAACCUCGGAACUGCCUUCGAUACUGCGGGUCUCGAGUCCGGGAGAGGUGAGUGGAAUUCCUAGUGUAGAGGUGAAAUUCGUAGAUAUUAGGAAGAACACCAGUGGCGAAGGCGGCUCACUGGCCCGGUACUGACGCUGAGGCGCGAAAGCGGUGGGGAGCAAACAGGG
rnacentral:rRNA from 1 species